CGAAGCCUUGAACCCCCCCAAACCCCCAGCCCAGAGCCCCCCAGGGCUGGUUUUAUCCCCAAAAUAAAAAAAGGGCAGGGACCCCUUUUUGGAGCCCCCAGGGAAGUUGCAAGAAGUCCAAGCGCAGCCCGAUGAAGCAGCAGCACCUCUUUAUUCAGCACCCCCAGCAGCGGGCGGUGCCGGCACCUAGGCCGCAGGGCUCGCCGGGCCCCCUCACAGCAGGCGUUUUGACAAAAACCACGGGAAAACUCCCCAAAUCCUCCACACGCUGCCAGAGGAAGGACACGAGCGCGUGCCCAGCUCCGUGCCUUAAGGCCCUGCUACCAUCCCUCACCUGGUGCAUGGGGCACUAAUAGGACUGAGCACACCCCAUGGCCUAGGCCCGAGCACGUCCCAUGGGCUAGGCCCGAGCGCACCCCAUUCCCUGGGACAUGGGGCACCCCAUUGCCGCCCCCCAUGCCCAGGAGAGCUGCCCGCAGCCCCGUUACCUCCUGCAUCCUCCCCCCCUUGGGCAUCCCCACCUUCAGCCCCCCAGGAUCCCCCCAUUUGGCUCUCCCGGGCACCCCACACGGAGCACAGCCCGGGGAUGGGGCCCUGCGAGGUUCCACCACCCCCAUCAGUGGGGUGGGGAGGAAGGCUCCGCGCUCAUCGUCACCCCCGAGGCGCCCUCAGCUCCAUCCCUGCUCCUCUCCUGCCCCCCCCCAGCACCUCCACCCAGAGAGGCGAGAGGACGGGAUGCUCGUGGUGUAUUUCGGUGGUGGUACAAAUCAGAACAAACCAACAGGAAAAAAAAAAAAAAAAAAAAAAAAAAAAAAAAUAGGAAAAAAAAAUCUCCUCCUCCUCCCCCCCCCGAGAUUAUAAAAAAAUAAGAAUAUACACAUUCCGAGAGCUUAUUACAGUAUAAAGUUACGGGUGCCCGCCGAGGGCUGAGCGUCCUCCCGGGGUGAUCCUCCCCUGAGUCACCGCGGGGCUGGGCCGUGCCGGUGACAUCCCAGCCGGGCAAGCCGGUUGUCCCCACGUCCCCACGCCCCCAAAUCCUCGUACCUAGCGUCUGUGCCCCGAGGGCUGG
rnacentral:lncRNA from 1 species